rnacentral:misc_RNA from 1 species
GUUUGAACAGCAUUUUAGUUCUUUAAUUUUCCGAUCAAACAAUUUUUUAAUCCCUAAGAAGUGAAAAGGUGAUGGAUUAAAAUGUUGUUUAUCACAUUCUUGUGUAAUUAUCUCUCUUGCUUAAAAUAUCUGUAUUACUGCGAGUCUGGGAAUUGUUGAACUAGAAACAUUGUAAGCUGCAGCAAUCACUUAUGUCCUGUUUGCAGCUGAUAUUAUUUGGUUUAGAAUGCCAUUGAACUUGCAUGAAAUAAUUGGUGGUUUCUUUCUUCUAGAUUUCACUUUUGAAGUUUGUUGCCUUCUGCUUCUUAUGAAGUUGCCUGUGAUGCAGGGAACUUUCUCACAUAGUGCUUG